rnacentral:sRNA from 1 species
CUUCACCAAAGACCAUCCCUGGUCUCUCACAGUGCCAAGCCUCAGCUGCUCUCCAUGAUGCCUUCAGGCCUUUAAAGCAGUGUUCUAGGACUGAUUGGCUGGACACCGCAAAUCUUCCUUUGUUGAGUAAAUGACAUUCGAUAUGAAACAUGCUCCCCUACAGCAGAUGUAUGUGCUGAACAUCAAUGAUGGAUUAACAUUCGUUUCUACAUGUUUGAAUAGGUUCCAUCUGCUAGAGGAUUGAUUUCUUAUGUUGUGAUGGUGGGAAGUGCUGUCAACAGAAGAUGUCUCAGGAAAAUGUCCUCAGGUAACCAGUGCGGUCUUGGAUGAUUGUUGGACCCUUGGCAUUUUCUCUGCUUCCAUUGUUUCUUUUCUCACAAGGUGAAUUUAAUUCACUACUUCUGUCUUAUGAGCCACCCAAACUAUCAGAAUUUUUUAUAUCGAAGAGGGAAUUAGAAGUCAAAAUGUAAACUGAAGUUUUCUCUUAAUGAAUUUAU